rnacentral:rRNA from 1 species
GACGAACGCUGGCGGCGUGCUUAACACAUGCAAGUCGAACGGAAAGGCCCUGCUUUUGUGGGGUGCUCGAGUGGCGAACGGGUGAGUAACACGUGAGUAACCUGCCCUUGUCUUUGGGAUAACUUCAGGAAACUGGGGCUAAUACCGGAUAGGAGCUCCUGCUGCAUGGUGGGGGUUGGAAAGUUUCGGCGGUAGGGGAUGGACUCGCGGCUUAUCAGCUUGUUGGUGGGGUAGUGGCUUACCAAGGCUUUGACGGGUAGCCGGCCUGAGAGGGUGACCGGCCACAAGGGGACUGAGAUACGGCCCAGACUCCUACGGGAGGCAGCAGUGGAGAAUAUGGCACAGUGGGCGGAAGCCUGAUGCAGCAACGCCGCGUGCGGGAUGACGGCCUUCGGGUUGUAAACCGCUGUCGCCUGUGACGAAGCGUGAGUGACGGUAAUGGGUAAAGAAGCACCGGCUAACUACGUG